rnacentral:rRNA from 1 species
UACCCGCUGAAACUUAAGCAUAUCAAUAAGCGGGGAGAA